UCGGGCACGUUAACAGACCGCCGAACAGACAGAGUCUCCCCUGUACGUCCAAUGCAUCGCAAUCAACACAAUACAAGAGGUUCCAACCAGAAACAGUAUUCAUUCAUAGAUUGCAUAAGGAAGUAUCAAAAACAUAAUACUACUAAGUUAUUACAACAUUCAACUUACAUACAUUUUUGCACAUAAUUUUUUUUUACACUCAUCUUCCAAAUACAAUCCCAAUUAUUACAAUUUAUUACAACUUGAUCAAAGUUUGUUCU
rnacentral:lncRNA from 1 species